AUUUAAAAACCUAACCCAAAUUUGUUAGUUUCUCAGAUCUCUCUCUGUCUCUCUCUCUCCGCGUCUUCUCCCUUUCUCCUCCCCUGUGUUUCGACCGACACCGACAAAACCCCCCAGCCACUGUCCCGUCGGCCACCGGACCGGUCAAGUUUUGACCGGCGUCGCACCCCAAGCCAGCUCCAACCUUCCUCCUACCUCUGCUGCUGCUGUUUUGUAGGAAAACCCCGGUUUUGAUCGGAUUUUUACUCGGUUUUCCAAUCCCUCGAUCUCUCUCCUCCGGUCCUCAAAUCCUUCGAUUGAGGUCAAAUUUUGCAUGUUUGAAUUUUCAAGGCUUUUACACUGCAGUCUUGGAGAAAGAUGAUGUGUUGAUAUCUGUAGCAUCAAUCAGUGAAUAAGGGGCAACGAAGUUGGUCCCAUGCAGACGGUGGCGGUUGCUGGCUGGCGGGGCUGGAAUCCGGCGGUGGUAGGUGGCCGGUGGCGAUAGGUGGCCGGCGGUGAAAGGUGGUCGGAGGUGGCCGGCGGUGGGGGUUGGCUGGAUGUGGACAUGUGGCAUAGUAUGCUUGCCUUAGAAGGAAUGGCAUUGUGUGUAAUUUUGAUAUUUUUUAAUGAUAUUUUUGUAAAAUUGGGUACUCAUUCUGGUCUUUGGCCUUAUGCUAAUUAGA